GCCCUUAUAGCUCAGUGGUAGAGCGCUUGACUUGUACUCCUCUACGGUUAUCAAGAGGUCCGUGGUUCAAUCCCGCGUGGGGGCA
rfam:Aspergillus brasiliensis CBS 101740 unplaced genomic scaffold ASPBRscaffold_1, whole genome shotgun sequence.